AGGUGACCCGGUAUCCAGUGGGCAAAGUAGCAGGAGGGUGAGAAGGGCUCUGGGUGACUGACAUGAGCUAAGGCCUCAGAGGAAGGUGACAAAUUUAGGCAGCAUGCAGCUCUGAAGGUUGUAUUUCAUUUUAAAGUAACCCCCGCCCAUUUCCAUCCUGCACCUGGUUUGCUUCCUUCCUCACCUGAUCCCAUUCUGUAAUUACACGCUCACUCGUUUAUUAUCCGAACUCUCCUCUAGAAGGAAAGCUCGAGAAGGAAAGUCUGUUGCUGCCUUAUCCACCAUCUAGACGCAGUGCCCGACAGAGCCCCGCGCAGAGAAGGUGCUGGAAAGCCCGUUUCGCCUGCAUAAAGGCAUGUGAGCAGGGAUGAAGACUUUCACUGGUUCGCUGACCUUCCUCUUCUUCCUGGAGCUCUCGGAACUUUGCUGACUGUACACAAAAUUCAUUCUUUGAAUCUGUGAGAAUCACCAGAGAGAGGCACAAUUCAGCAGAGAUUUUGACGUCUGCACAAGGUGUGUUCCAACUGGCUGAGUUUGCACCUUUGAUGCCAAAGCCACCCAGGCAAGCAUUCCCCUGGAGGUGUCCAAGUUAAAAACCUGGGAGUUGAGGGAGACCUUUAAGAUGGCGGAGGAGUAAGACGUGGAGAUCACCUUCCCCCCUACAAAUCCAUCAGAAAUACAUCUAUAUGUGGAACAACUCCUACAGAAUACCUCCUGAACGCUGGCAGAAGACCUCAGAC
rnacentral:lncRNA from 1 species